ACUGGAGCAAUAGUGAGUUGAAGUUGGCCAAAGAUGACCUCCUCAGUCAGUCUGGUUUUCACCAUACUAAACUCAAUCUUUUAAGAUUGAACAUUUUUAUGUUUUGCCUAUCACAUGGGUAUUGUACCUUGUUACAAGACCGGUCUGGUUGCAUUAGUUUCAUAUCUCUCUUCCAGCAAGUUUAACCUGUUCAGUUUAACGUCUGACAUGGGAGAAGACGGAGUUAAUCCACUAAAUUCUCAAAUAUUCUGUUCUUCAUGGUGCUGAUGAGGAAGUGACUGCAGCUCUGCCUCCAAUAUGAGUCAGCAUGGAGCCUCUGCUGGUGGCCAUGGACAUUCAAGGCCAGUUUAUGACAGGACACUCCCUGCACCCAGCUGUGUGUCCAUGAAGAGCGAUCGGUCAAAGGGUAAGGCCCCCAACUUCAGAGAGGGAGGCAGUCAUUACGAUGCCAGGCCAGUGGAUGAGAGGACACCCCCCCCUGCACCCAGCUGUGUGUCCAUGAAGAGCGAUUGGUCAAAGGGUAAGGUCCCCAACUUCAGAGAGGGAGGCAGUCAUUACGAUGCCAGGUAAGAAUGGUCUCCAUCUGGAAAGAAAUAUUAUAAUGAGCAUGUGACUUUCUGUCAUAAUGUUGACACAUACUUGUAUGAGUCUCUUAUGGACAGCACAUUUGUAUAAUCCAUGUAGUUAUUUUAUCUUGUAUAGUUUUAUCAAACACCUUAGUGGUGCAGCUUGGACACAUCCUCAGUGAUGAACCCAGGGUCUCGGGGUGUUUCGGGUCUUGGAUCAUCAGACACCCUCACCUGGGCGACAGAGACGGGGCUGAUCAGACCCCGGGCUUGUGUCCAAGCAGCGCACUAAACCAUGUCCCAUGUCACUAAACCCUUCUUAAUCCACAGCCACCUAGAGGCUUUCUCAGCUGCCUCACAGAUGUUUUUGGUGGCUUUUCUCUCUUGAGCCCCCCUGAUUCCAAGGAGCCUGAGUGCUCGAUGCAGGCUCUGUCCUGGGAAUCCUCUGCAGCCAACCUCGAUUAGUUCACAGCGGGCCCUCCACCCAUUUAGCCUGCAGUCCUCCACCAGUUCCAGGUAUUUAGCCUUCUUCCGCUCGUAAGCCACCUCGAUCCGGUCUUCCCAGGGGAUUGUUAGUUCCAGUAGCUGAGUGUCGUGAUGGCAAUGUGCUCCGGAAACUUCAAUUGCUUCCCCAGGUCCACCUUCAACUGCCAGUCACCUGCUGUGGAUAAAAGACCACCUGGGACCUUUGGCUGUGACUGUGGUUCCUGACCAGCCCUGACGAAAGCGAUGUUUAGCCUUGCUGGAGGUUGGUGCUUUUCUGGAUUCCAGCACAGAUGGUGUCAGCUACUACCUUCAGCACCUGGUCAUGGCGCCACGUGUACUUCCCCUCUCCCAGUGCUUUCGGGCAGCUACUCAGGAUGUGCUCCAGUGUUCCUCUUGCUGGGCAGAGUGGGCAUGACGGUGUUUCUGCCAACCCCCAGCAGUGCAGGUUAGACGGACUCGGGAGGACAUCAUACACUGACUGGAUCAGGAACUUGAGUCUUGCUGGCUCUAACCUCCAAAGUUCUGACCAAGUGAUUUUCCGAGUCAGUGUCCCAAUUGGUCCAAGCUCCUUGCUGGCGCAUGGCCACAGUCCUGCUCCGCCGCUCCUCCUCCACCUCUGCUCGGAGCUCACCCUGGAUCAUCUGCCGCUUGUCUUUCCUCUGUGCUCUGUCAUAGCGUGGUGUUUUAUGACAGCCGAGUCCCGCUCGCCCAACCGCCACCGAGCCUACUAUCACACCAUGCCUCUGCCUGCUGAACUGCCUCUUGUGCUCGCCACUUCCCUCCAGUCCUGACCUCUAUGCCUGCAGAGGAGACUCUGGUAUCGGAUGAGUCUCUGUACAAUAACACUUCCCUGGCUCUUGUUACUUUUAAUUCCUCUGUCAGACCUGAGAAUGGGAGCUGCAGUUUGUUGGUGUGCCCAUAAAGGGCAAUGCAGCUCAGGCUCUUCGGCAGGCCCAGCCAUCUGCGCAGGAACUGGCUGAUGUUUUGCUCUAAGGCCUCCACCGUUGUUAGUGGGACCUGCUACAUCAACAGUGGCCACAGGAGCCUUGGCAGGAUGCCGUGCUGAUAUAUCCAGGCUUUAAACUUCCCUGAGAGGCCUGAUCUGUCCAUCGCAGCAAGCCAGGUUUCCAGCUCAAAGAGCAUAGUGUAACAGGGUGGUCAGAGCAACCACCCCAAAUCUGUAGCCUGACUAUGCCACCCUGGGGCCUAGCGCCUCAGGGAAUCUUUAGGAGCUUGGGACCUUUACCAAACAGAGCUGCACAGGUUCUUUAAAGCAUAUUGGACAUGAAUUCCUUAAAUAAACAAUUUAUUGAACACAAAAGACAGACAUUCAACAGAGACAGACAGAGCUUGCCUGAGGGGGCAGGCUAAUAUCAAUGGUGACCAGUUUAUACCAAACACAGCAAUUCUACAGUAUGAAAGUGUUUCAAGAAGUAGUGCAGCUCUCCACAGCAAGCAACUCUCAGUACACACACACUAGUUCCCCAGCAGGUGACUAGCCCCUGUCGUGACUCCUAGGCCCCACCCAUGGAGCACCGAACGCAUGCGUGAAUUCGCGUCCACUUCGCUGCUUUUGCGUCAGCGCAAAUCAGCCAGAUGUGAGAUGUCCUCUCAAGGAUAGACACCUGCCUUGAAAACUAUGCUUAAGUAGAUAAAGAAAGUAACGUAACAGAAACCAUAUAGUACACUGUUGUCCCGCUAACCACUAUUGAAUUAAGUGCGCCAGUUUGAAUGUAAGAGAAGGAAUGUGCGUAACUGUUGAAGAAUGUGUGUGAUUAGGCCUACUUGAACAAAUAGCUCCGAAAGACUGAAUUGAACGCUUGGUGAUGAGGAGCUUGUGAGACUGAAAGUUGUGAAGACUGAAAUAAUGACGCUAUAAAAUUCUUAUCCAAUAAACGACAGAAUGACUGAACAAAAUGUUAUGCUAUGAAAGUGCCAAUGCAACAUACAAGAAGUGUUACGUUAGAUAUGGGGUUUUGGGGAAUAAUGUGUGAAAAUAAAAAUGUAUGAAAAUCCUAUUAAACGACUUACGUGCCUUCAAUAUAGACAUGCCUCUUCUUAGCCUACCUGAUUAAUAAACCCACGACAAUGUAACCGAAUGCAAUGAACUUAUAAUCCUGAAUGUAACAAAUAUACUCCCUGCGAACGCAAAUGUGUACGAUGUUUGAACGUAACCAACCAACAUGUUUAAGUAGCCUACACUGUUGAAUGUAACCAAGUACUCUCAAUAGAAUGUAAUAUGCAUGCUACAUCUUAAUGUGUAAUGGCUGUUAUCAAAUGUAAACUGUUUGUAUGUUAAAACCUGUAAAUGCCGAUAUUGAAUGCAUCUCUGUCUCAACUAGAAUGUUCUCGUCAACACUGAAUGUAUGUAAAACUCCGCUCUGUAACCCGGAGAUGUGUGCCUUUGACUGUCUAGAAUGUUCUGAAGUAAGUUUAGUUUCCAUCAAGUUCUGUGAAGAGGGCACCGCCCCAGGAAUGUGUAGGGGAGGACCAUGGGGUCACGGAAAAAUCAGGACUAUAAAGUAGCAGGUCAACCAAAGUCCGGGGCUGCUUCUUCUUCUUUCCUCGUCUUACGUGUUGUGUUACUCUGUAGCUCCUGAUAGUUAUUAUGUGAACUCCGUACGUCGUCGCGAAACCAAGUAUGCGGGACUUAGUGCUCCAGUGAACAUCGGAACUCCGCAUCAUCCACCUGCUGCUCGUGGCCUUACACCCGGACAAGGGAGAUCACUGAACGAGAAUUCAUUUGACUCUUUGCUUUUUUCGACACUAUUGGAUUAAUUUCUUUCGUUUUUCCUUUUUCAACACAAAAUGGAAUUACGACGACUAUUGGAUUAAUUUCUUACGUUUUUCCUUUUUCAACACAAAAUGGAAUUACUACGACUAUUGGAUUAAUUUCUUUUGUUUUUCCUUCUCACCACAAAAUGGAAUUAUCUUUUUUCUACAUAUUGUAAUCAACAAGCUGUAUUGUGCCGCAUUUUUGCUGUAUUUAAAAAUGCUGAAUUAUAAAACUAUUU